rnacentral:tRNA from 1 species
GUCUCUGUAGCUCAGUUGGUAGAGCAGCUGACUCUUAAUCAGCGGGUCGACGGUUCGAACCCGUCCGGGGACA